rnacentral:rRNA from 1 species
GACGAACGCUGGCGGCGUGCUUAACACAUGCAAGUCGAACGGUGAACCUCUUCGGGGGGGGUCAGUGGCGAACGGGUGAGUAACACGUGGGCAACCUGCCCCCGGCUCUGGGAUAACUCCAAGAAAUUGGGGCUAAUACCGGACGUUCACCGCUUCCCGCAUGGGUGGUGGUGGAAAGGUUUUCCGGCUGGGGAUGGGCCCGGGGCCUAUCAGCCUGUUGGUGGGGUAGUGGCCUUCCAAGGCCACGGCGGGUAGCCGGCCUGAGAGGGUGACCGGCCACAGUGGGAGUGAGACAGCGCCCAGACUCACGCGGGAGGGAGGAGUGGGGAAUAUUGCGAAAGGGGCGGAAGCCUGACGCAGCGACGCCGCGGGGGGGAUGACGGCCUUCGGGUUGUAAACCUCUUUCAGGAGGGACGAAGCGUAAGUGACGGUACCUGCAGAAGAAGCACCGGCCACCUACGU